rnacentral:lncRNA from 1 species
GGCGGGCGUCCCUUGCUGGGGCUCCGCGCCCGGCUCGACAGAGCGGGCGUGGGGCGGGCGCCGAGGGCACUGGGGGCCGAGGCCGAGUCCCCGCCCGCUGUCCCCUCGCCCUCCUUCCGAGAAGUUUGCCGUUCGACCUUGCAGAUGGAAACGACGGCGUUCGGACGAGGGCGUCGCCCGCCCAGGCUCCCGGGAGCGAGGGCAUCGGGGCUGCCCGGAAUCGGAUUCCUCGGCGGAUUACGCGGCCCAGUCGGCACGCGAGGCGGGCCCCGGGCGACCAGGAAGCCCCCGGCGCGCACGAAAGCAGCGAGGGCGGAGGUUGGGGGGCUGGGGGCGGGGCGGCCGCGUUGCGUGACCUGCAAGCCGGCGGCCGCACGCACUUCGUGCUCCGGGCGGCCCUCGCCCCGCGGGCGGCGCAGGUGCCGCUGGAGGCCGGCGCCCGGCUGCCACUUUACAGCCCCGGCGGGGAGGGCAGUCACGCUAUAUUUCAGGGACUGGGACGGAGUUCGCGGAAUCUCCUUGUUAUCGGAACGUGGGUAGCGUUGGGUAAUAACCGCUCGGACAGGAUGUAGGAAGCGCAGUGGGAACAGAGCUGUCCCGUCUAAUGGGCAGUAAUGGAGUGGAGAAAUAGAAAGAAGGAGAAAGGUGAAAAAUGUGGAAAGAGAUAAAGGGAAAGACUAAGAUCAACAGAGAACCAAGAAAAAAUUUUUUAAAAAAAAUACAGGGUUUUGAUCAGUGAUGGACCACUGUUGAUCUAGGCAUGCUGGUAUGUCUGCAAUCCCAGCGACUUCAGAGGCCUACACAGGGAAGAUCGAAGGUUUGAAGCCAGCCUGAGCAAUUGAGCAAGAACCAGUCUCAAAUUAAAAUCAAAAGGGGUG